AGGACGAACGCUGGCGGCGUGCCUAACACAUGCAAGUCGAACGGAGUAUAAAAGGAAGCUUGCGAAUUUAUACUUAGUGGCGGACGGGUGAGUAACGCGUGGAUAACCUGCCUGAUAGCCUGGGAUAACAGCUGGAAACGGCUGCUAAUACCGGAUACGCUUGGGGAGUCGCAUGGCUCUGCAAGGAAAGCUUUCGUGCUAUCAGAUGGAUCCGCGUCCCAUUAGCUAGUUGGUGGUGUAGAGGACCACCAAGGCGACGAUGGGUAGCCGGCCUGAGAGGGCGAACGGCCACACUGGGACUGAGACACGGCCCAGACUCCUACGGGAGGCAGCAGUGGGGAAUCUUCCGCAAUGGGCGAAAGCCCUGACGGAGCAACGCCGCGUGAGGGAAGAAGGCCUUCGGGUUGUAAACCUCUGUUUUCAGGGAAGAAGAAAUGACGGUACCUGAAGAGUAAGCUCCGGCUAACUACGUGCCAGCAGCCGC
rnacentral:rRNA from 1 species